rnacentral:rRNA from 1 species
UACGAAGGGUGCUAGCGUUGUUCGGAAUUACUGGGCGUAAAGCGCACGUAGGCGGGUUUGUAAGUAGGGGGUGAAAUCCCAGGGCUCAACCCUGGAACUGCCUUCUAGACUGCAAGCCUGGAGGUCAGGAGAGGCGAGUUGAAUACCGAGUGUAGAGGUGAAAUUCGUAGAUAUUCGGUGGAACACCAGUGGCGAAGGCGACUCGCUGGACUGAUACUGACGCUGAGGUGCGAAAGCGUGGGGAGCAAACAGG